CAUACUGCAGACAUCACUGCUACCUUUGCAUGCAGGCUGAGAGCAGACAAGCAUUCAGUGGAUAAGGAACUGCUGCAAGAACAUUGGGGCUGUAGAGGGCAAUGUGUAAGCAGUUUAGAGGGGAAAAGGCUGAGAUGAUGCCCUCCAGCUCUGCGUGCCUACUACUUUGAGCAGGCCCAGCUGGCAAGCAAGACCCACGUGGCCACACGCUCAGUCCUCCCCCACAGUGGGAUGAGAGGAGAAAACGCAACAAGAAGCUUGCAGUGUCAAGACAAGCAGAGGGAGGAAUCACUCACCAGUUACCACCAUGGGCAAAACAGAGUUGACUCGGGGCGGGGGGGGAAUCAGUUCACUUUGUUACCAGAGUAGGAUAAUGAGAAA